rnacentral:rRNA from 1 species
GUGGGGAAUAUUGCACAAUGGGCGCAAGCCUGAUGCAGCAACGCCGCGUGAGGGAUGAAGGCCUUCGGGUUGUAAACCUCUUUUAGCAGGGAAGAAGCGAAAGUGACGGUACCUGCAGAAAAAGCACCGGCUAACUACGUGCCAGCAGCCGCGGUAAUACGUAGGGUGCAAGCGUUGUCCGGAAUUAUUGGGCGUAAAGAGCUCGUAGGCGGUUUGUCACGUCUGCUGUGAAAAUCCAAGGCUCAACCUUGGACUUGCAGUGGGUACGGGCAGGCUAGAGUGCGGUAGGGGAGAUGGGAAUUCCUGGUGUAGCGGUGGAAUGCGCAGAUAUCAGGAGGAACACCAAUGGCGAAGGCACAUCUCUGGGCCGUAACUGACGCUGAGGAGCGAAAGCGUGGGGAGCAAACAGGAUUAGAUACCCGUGUAGUCC